rnacentral:rRNA from 1 species
GACGAACCGUACGAACGUUAUUCGGAAUCACUGGGCUUAAAGAGUGUGUAGGCGGUGCUCUAAGUUCGGUGUGAAAUCUCCUGGCUCAACUGGGAGGGUGCGCCGGAAACUGGAGUGCUUGAGCGUGGGAGAGGAAAGCGGAAUUCCUGGUGUAGCGGUGAAAUGCGUAGAUAUCAGGAGGAACACCUGUGGUGUAGACGGCUUUCUGGACCAUAGCUGACGCUGAGACACGAAAGCGUGGGUAGCAAACAGG